GAAAUAGAGAGAGAAAUAGAGAGACAGACAGACAGAGACAUAGAGCCACAGAUGUGGAUAGUGAUAGAUUCUCUCAGGGAUCCCCUUGAAUACCCAGGCCGGUAUUUAACCUCUGGGUAAUGAGAAUAAUACUAAAUCACUGUGUCUCACUGAGGCAUUUGCAGAAACACCUUGGAGGUGAUAGUUAUAAAAAAAGCAUAUCUCUUUUCUUUAAGGAAGCCUACAAAGAGGAUGAGAAAAUGGAGGCCCUAAUUCAAAGGGAUCUAGCUAAUUACCUGCAGUCCUCUCUGUCCCUCUCAAGAGGCAGCGUUCUGUGUCUUCCGGCUAAGUGAACUCCCUGUUUCCAUCUAGGGAUUCCUAAAACGGACUAAGGUAACUGUCUGUGACACUCAAGUCAUUGAUUGGAUUGGUUCCCCAAUAAGCUGUCUCCGAAAAAUCGUUAUGAAUGAACUCCAACAACUAAGUCACCCCGUUGGCUCUGUCCCCUGAGGUCAAAACCUGCAAGCUGAUGUGACAGGAAAUUUUCGCUGAAACCUUCUGAAAAGUAGAGCAGAUGCUGCAGUAUACUUUGUGCCCAGAAAAUGACAGUGAAUGACUGUGCUGAUGUCCUCAAUGGCAAUGAAGUGGUCGAGAAAUAUUUACGAAGCACCUCGUAUGUAGAGAAUGUCGUAUCAUCUUUGUCACCGGGGCUCCCCUCAUCCGUGGUCUUCUGGCACAGGUUUCCCAUGAACUGAUUGAAUAUCCGUACCUCUGUUCACACUGUCCUCCCGCUCUACC